UUACUAUUCUCUUGCUAAUUUAAUUAAGCGUUUUUAUAUAUUUUAUUAACUAUGAAAACAUACAAAAACUGUCUACAACAUUUGGGUUAUGCUUCAUGCCUUCAUCAAGUUAGGUCCUCUUUUUAAAUGAUGAUAUUUGGUUACCCAGCUUUCAACAUAAAAUUGUUUACUCAAAUCAUUGCAAGUCCUCUCAGGUUUUCAAACAAUUUUUAUAAAUUUUCUAACAUUAAGAGAUUGUAAAUUUUUAAAUAUAUCUUCAUUGAUAAUUCGGGGUAAUUUUGUCUUUUAAGGUACUUUUAGAUUCUUAUUACUAUCCAAACACUUCACGAACCAAACGCUCAUUUAGGGUCUUUUCGAAUGCUAUUUUCAAGGCAAAAUACGUGAAAGAUGACAAUUUCUCUCUACUCUUAAUCGUAUAUCAUCUGAUCAUACAUGAAUCUAUACGUGGUAUCACUUAUCUCAUAAGCUUACGAUGAUUUUAUAUCUAUAGUAUGUUGGUAUUGCUGCUGAACAUCAAAAUGAUGAUACAAAACAGAUUGCCCUCAUGGAGGUCUACACAGAGAUGCUUUCUGAGACUUUGUUAAAGUGAUGAUGAAGACAACCAGCUACGAAUAUAUUUAUGAUGUAAUUCAUUGAAUUUGCCAAUGGGUUUGGAUGGAAAACUUAUACCAUAAGCUUUAUGUUCUUGGUCAGUCGGGCAACAAUAAGUUUAAAUAGAAUGUAGAAACUGUAGAUAUGGAGGUGACAACGAUGGUGAUCUGGUUUUGUCGUCAACGACUGGUUGAUUGAUGGUGGCGGUGUUAGGCCAGGGGCGGACCUAUUAAGGAGGGAGGGGUAGCCCGGGCUACCCCUCAACUAUUGGCCGAACCGUAACCGGAGUACUCAACCAUCGACUAAAUAUGAGUUAAAUAUCAUAUUUGUUAAAGCUGUUCACAAGUUCUAUGGUAGCUCAGUGAUUGCAUUGUUUGAAGUCAAACCCAAGAAGACAAGGGCGUGAGUUCGAGGCUGUGUCAACAAUGAUGCUCAACGAUUUUCUUUA